GAUAAACGCUGGCGGCGUGCCUUAUGCAUGCAAGUCGAACGGUCUCGAUUUAUCGAGAUAGUGGCGAACGGGUGAGUAACGCGUAAGUAACCUGCCCCUAAGUAAGGGAUAACUCUGAGAAAUUAGAGCUAAUACCGUAGUGGUGGUGGAGGUAAUGCUUCAUCACUAAAGCUUUAGGGCGCUUAGGGAGGGACUUGCGUCCGAUUAGCUAGUUGGUAGGGUAAUGGUCUACCAAGGCGAUGAUCGGUAGCUGGUUUGAGAGGACAUCCAGCCACACUGGGAUUGAGAUACGGCCCAGACUCCUACGGGAGGCAGCAGCAAGGAAUUUUGUGCAAUGGGCGAAAGCCUGACACAGCGACACCGCGUGGGGGAUGACAGCCUUCGGGUUGUAAACCCCUUUUAUUAGGGAAGAAUAAUGACGGUACCUAAUGAAUAAGCAUCGGCUAACUACGUGCCAGCAGCCGCGGUAAUACGUAGGAUGCAAGCGUUAUCCGGAUUUACUGGGCGUAAAGAGGGCGUAGGCGGCUUUUCAAGUCGGAUGUAAAAUCUCCCAGCUCAACUGGGAGGGACCAUUCGAUACUGCUAAGCUAGAGUGCAGCAGGGGGAGACGGAAUUCCCGGAGUAGUGGUGAAAUGCGUAGAUAUCGGGAGGAACACCAGUGGCGAAGGCGGUCUCCUAGGCUGUUACUGACGCUGAGGCCCAAAAGCGUGGGGAGCGAACAGGAUCAGAUACCCUGGUAGUCCACGCCGUAAACAAUGGACACUAGGUAUAGGGAGUAUCGACCCUCUCUGUGCCGUAGCUAACGCGUUAAGUGUCCCGCCUGGGGAGACGGCCGCAAGGCU
rnacentral:rRNA from 1 species